GGCUAGCACUCCGAUUCCCUGCAAUUAUUUCCAACUGGACCCCACACUUAGCCGUCGAAGUGGGAAACUUUAUUUUCGUUUCACCCGUCAUCUUCCGAUUGGUGAAGCCUUUGCUUUAACUUAACUUUUCAUCCUCCACCAAAAGAAAAAAAUAAAAAUGCCUUUGCUAAAGGAUAAGACGGGCCAAGUCAAUACAAGCAGUCAAGUCG
rnacentral:lncRNA from 1 species